rnacentral:rRNA from 1 species
UACAGAGGUCUCAAGCGUUGUUCGGAUUCAUUGGGCGUAAAGGGUGUGUAGGUGGCGCCGUAAGUCGGGUGUGAAAUUUCGGAGCUUAACUCCGAAACUGCACUCGAUACUGCUUUGCUCGAGGACUGGAGAGGAGAUUGGAAAUUCACGGUGUAGCAGUGAAAUGCGUAGAUAUCGUGAGGAAGACCAGUGGCGAAGGCGGAUCUCU